rnacentral:rRNA from 1 species
GCCCCCCGAAUUGUAGUCUAGAAAGGCGCCAUCGGCCGUGUCCGCCGCUCAAAUCCCUUGGAACAGGGUAUCGGAGAAGGUGAGAAUCCUGUACCGUGGCGGAUCGCGGCCGCACGAUGCGCCCUUGCAGAGUCGGGUUGCUUGGGAUUGCAGCUUGAAGUGGGUGGUAAAUUCCAUCUAAAGCUAAAUACUGGCUCAUGACCGAUAGCGAACAAGUACCGUGAGGGAAAGAUGCAAAGAACUUUGAAAAGAGAGUUAAAGAGUGCUUGAAAUCGGCGAGAGGAAACCCGUUUGUGCCCGGCUUCGCGUUAUCGAUUCAGCCGUUUCGUAGCGGUGCACUUUGGUGACGCGGGUCCUACGCGACUGUCGCUGCGUGAGAAACUCCGGGGAGGCUUCGGUGAGCCCGGUCAUAGCGCGGUGGCGGUCCCGUCGGACGGAACGGGCACAACCGACCCGUCUAGAAACACGGACCAAGGAGUCUGACACGGAUGCGAGUACCCGGGUGGCAAGCCCGCGUGCGCAAUGAAAGUGAAGGGCGUGCCCCGCCAACCGACCUUGAUCUUCUGUGAAGGGUUUGAGUCGAGCAUCACUGUCGGGACCCGAAAGAUGGUGAACUAUGCCUGAGGAGGUUGAAGUCUGCCGAAAGGCAGAUGGAGGGCCGUAGCGAUACUGACGUGCAAAUCGUUCGUCGAACUUGGGUAUAGGGGCGAAAGACUAAUCGAACCAUCUAGUAGCUGGUUCCCUCCGAAGUUUCCCUCAGGAUAGCUUGGACGCAAGGGUUUUGU